rnacentral:rRNA from 1 species
ACGGAGCUGACAGCCAUCCCGCGUGAGGAAGAAGGCCCUACGGGUUGUAAACUUCUUUUCUGUUUGAAGAAUAAGCCCGUCGUGACGGGUGAUGCCGGUAGGACAGGAAUAAGCAUCGGCUAACUCCGUGCCAGCAGCCGCGGUAAUACGGAGGAUGCAAGCGUUAUCCGGAUUUAUUGGGUUUAAAGGGUGCGCAGGUGGUCAAAUAAGUCAGUGGUGAAAGUCUGCCGCUUAACGGUAGGAUUGCCAUUGAUACUGUUUGACUUGAAUAUGGAUGAGGUAGGCGGAAUGUGUAGUGUAGCGGUGAAAUGCUUAGAUAUUACACAGAACACCGAUUGCGAAGGCAGCUUACUAAUCCAUGAUUGACGCUGAGGCACGAAAGCGUGGGGAUCAAACAGGAUUAGAUACCCUGGUAGUCCACGCUGUAAACGAUGAUCACUCGCUGUUUGCGAUACACAGUAAGCGGCUAAGCGAAAGCGUUAAGUGAUCCACCUGGGGAGUACGAUCGCAAGGUUGAAACUCAAAGAAAUUUGACG